rnacentral:tRNA from 1 species
GCGCCCGUAGUUCAACGGAUAGAGCGUCAGAUUCCGGUUCUGAAAGUUGGGGGUUCGAGUCCCUCCGGGCGUGCCA